rnacentral:rRNA from 1 species
AUUGAACGCUGGCGGCAUGCCUUACACAUGCAAGUCGAACGGCAGCACGGGAGCAAUCCUGGUGGCGAGUGGCGAACGGGUGAGUAAUAUAUCGGAACGUGCCCAGUCGUGGGGGAUAACGUAGCGAAAGCGACGCUAAUACCGCAUACGAUCUAUGGAUGAAAGCGGGGGAGCGCAAGACCUCGCCCGAUUGGAGCGGCCGAUAUCAGAUUAGGUAGUUGGUGGGGUAAAGGCUCACCAAGCCGACGAUCUGUAGCUGGUCUGAGAGGACGACCAGCCACACUGGGACUGAGACACGGCCCAGACUCCUACGGGAGGCAGCAGUGGGGAAUUUUGGACAAUGGGCGCAAGCCUGAUCCAGCAAUGCCGCGUGCAGGAUGAAGGCCUUCGGGUUGUAAACUGCUUUUGUACGGAACGAAACGGUGAGCUCUAAUACAGUUUGCUAAUGACGGUACCGUAAGAAUAAGCACCGGCUAACUACGUGCCAGCAGCCGCGUAA